UACGUAGGGGGCGAGCGUUGUCCGGAGUUACUGGGCGUAAAGCGCUUGUAGGCGGUCCACCAAGUUUGGGGUGACAGUUGCCGACUUAAUCGGCAAAGUGCCUCAAAGACUGGCGGACUUGAAGGCCACAGAGGGACAUGGAACUCCAGGUGUAGUGGUGAAAUGCGUAGAUAUCUGGAAGAACACCAAAGGCGAAGGCAGUGUCCUGGGUGGUCGCUGACGUUGAGAGGCGAAAGCCAGGGGAGCGAACGGG
rnacentral:rRNA from 1 species